rnacentral:rRNA from 1 species
CCUACGGGAGGCAGCAGUGGGGAAUAUUGCGCAAUGGGGGAAACCCUGACGCAGCAACGCCGCGUGAAGGAUGAAGGUUUUCGGAUUGUAAACUUCUUUGAUGAGGGACGAACAAAAUGACGGUACCUCAAAAACAAGCCACGGCUAACUACGUGCCAGCAGCCGCGGUAAU